CAAGCGCUGCCAGCAAGCAGAGAUCUUGAAAAGUGUGAACAAUUAAACUUUGCACAAUAAUUAAACUUGACAAGGGUUAUCGUGUUAGUAAAUGUGGAGGGACAUCCCCAUUGUUACUGAACUGUGACUAAAUGCGGCCUGCUGUGUCUGCAGACGGACCCUCGGGCCAGCUCUAUCGAUCUCUCCUACUCAUAAGGGAAACUAUUCUGAUAACAGAAGUAUAAUAUAUAUGUAUGAUAUUAUAAUGCUGAAAUCCUCUGUGCCUCUAGAAAUCCAAGAAGACAAAACCAGCUGAAAGCAUCGCAGCAAAUGGCCCUACACAGGAAGUAGCUGCAGGACCCUCCGGAAUCACAAAUGGGACCAAAACCAAUGCAAGGGAUAAAAUCAGUUUUGUGUCCAGCACUGAAUCCAGUGAACCCAAGUCAUCAGAAAAUGCUGUAUCAUCAUCAUCUGCUGCUAAGAGGCCAUUGCCAAGCGUGGACAGGAAGUCUGAGGCAUACAAAUCCAUCUUCACCUCCCACAGCUCUGCCAAGCGCACCAAGGAUCAGUCGUCCAACUGGGUCACCCACACGGCAUAUUACUUCUAAGUGAAUGAACUGGACCUCACCACGACUGUACUGAGAAUAGACAUUUAUAUAAAGUGUUGUGAACUUUUAUUGUAUUUUUCUUUUUAUGGGAUUAAUGCUUUAUCUGAGAUUUGACCUUGCCCAAAUAUUAAAGGGGCAGUCUUCUGCCCUCAGUCAUACAUUGUGUGUGUAAGCGCGUCAAUAGUUUUGCAACGCCACUGUGUUCCAUGUGCAGUUAUUGAGGCACGUGCAUAGAGUGCAUCUGCAGAUACAAAUUCAUUUCAUGGUUUAGUAGUUCCCAGACCUGUUUUUAAAGGGGUAUUCCAACUUUUAAAAUCGGAGCAUGUUUGUGAGGUGGGCCCAAAUAUCUUCAUCUCUUCUGGAAGCAAAUCCGUCAUAGUAACCAGGAGGCCUGAAAAACCAGAGAGUUUCUGAAAAUGUGAGCGGUGACAAAGAAGGCCUAGUGUAGUACUGAGCACUGCAGCCAUUGCUUGUCCCAGCUCACAAACCUCAGUGGAUAAUAGGAGUUGGAUGUCCCUUUAGAAAAGUACAAUAAAAAUGUGAUGUCCUUGUGAUAGGUCAUUAAACUGUCAUUUACUUGUA